rnacentral:rRNA from 1 species
AACGAACGCUGGCGGCGUGCCUAACACAUGCAAGUCGAACGUGAUUAGAGAGCUUGCUCUCUAUGAAAGUGGCGCACGGGUGAGUAACGCGUAGAUAAUCUACCUGAUGAUCCGGGAUAACAGUUCGAAAGGACUGCUAAUACCUGAUAAGCUCACGGAGUCCUCGGACUCUGCGGGAAAAGGGGGGGACCAAUUGGCCUUCCGUCAUCAGAUGAGUCUGCGUACCAUUAGCUAGUUGGUAGGGUAAAGGCCUACCAAGGCGACGAUGGUUAGCUGGUCUGAGAGGAUGAUCAGCCACACUGGAACUGAGACACGGUCCAGACUCCUACGGGAGGCAGCAGUGGGGAAUUUUGCGCAAUGGGGGAAACCCUGACGCAGCAACGCCGCGUGAGUGAUGAAGGCCCUUGGGUCGUAAAGCUCUGACAGAG